CCUACGGGAGGCAGCAGUGGGGAAUAUUGGGCAAUGGGCGCAAGCCUGACCCAGCAACGCCGCGUGAAGGAAGAAGGCCUUCGGGUUGUAAACUUCUUUUGUCAGGGACGAAGAAAGUGACGGUACCUGACGAAUAAGCUACGGCUAACUACGUGCCAGCAGCCGCGGAAAUACGUAGGAGGCAAUCGUUAUCCGGAGUUACUGGGGGUAAAGGGCGUGUAGGCGGGAGAGCAAGUCAGACGUGAAAUUCCAGGGCUCAACCCUGGAACUGCGUUUGAAACUGUUCUUCUUGAGUGAUGGAGAGGCAGGCAGAAUUCCGGGUGUAGCGGUGAAAUGCGUAGAGAUACGGAGGAACACCAGUGGCGAAGGCGGCCUGCUGGACAUUAACUGACGCUGAGGCGCGAAAGCGUGGGGAGCAAACAGGAUUAGAUACCCGGGUAGUC
rnacentral:rRNA from 1 species